UACGAAGGGGGCUAGCGUUGCUCGGAAUCACUGGGCGUAAAGGGCGCGUAGGCGGCUUCGAUAGUCGGGUGUGAAAUGCCUGGGCUCAACCCAGGAAUUGCACUCGAAACUCCGAGGCUUGAGUGUGGGAGAGGUUGGUGGAAUUCCCAGUGUAGAGGUGAAAUUCGUAGAUAUUGGGAAGAACACCAGCGGCGAAGGCGGCACUCUGGGCCGGUACUGACGCUGAGGAGCGAAAGCGUGGGUAGCAAGCAGG
rnacentral:rRNA from 1 species